rnacentral:rRNA from 1 species
GGACGCUGGCGGCGGCUAACACUGCAAGUCGAGCGCGCCUUCGGGUGAGCGCCGGACGGGUUAGUAACGCGUGGGAACGUGCCCUUCUCUACGGAAUAGCCUCUGGAAACGGAGAGUAAUACCGUAUACGCCCUUUGGGGGAAAGAUUUAUCGGAGAAGGAUCGGCCCGCGUUAGAUUAGGUAGUUGGUGGGGUAACGGCCUACCAAGCCUACGAUCUAUAGCUGGUUUUAGAGGAUGAUCAGCAACACUGGGACUGAGACACGGCCCAGACUCCUACGGGAGGCAGCAGUGGGGAAUCUUAGACAAUGGGGGCAACCCUGAUCUAGCCAUGCCGCGUGAGUGAUGAAGGCCUUAGGGUCGUAAAGCUCUUUCGCCUGUGAUGAUAAUGACAGUAGCAGGUAAAGAAACCCCGGCUAACUCCGUGCCAGCAGCCGCGGUAAUACGGAGGGGGUUAGCGUUGUUCGGAAUUACUGGGCGUAAAGCGCGCGUAGGCGGAUUAGAAAGUUGGGGGUGAAAUCCCGGGGCUCAACCCCGGAACUGCCUCCAAAACUGCUAGUCUAGAGUUCGAGAGAGGUGAGUGGAAUUCCGAGUGUAGAGGUGAAAUUCGUAGAUAUUCGGAGGAACACCAGUGGCGAAGGCGGGUCAAUGGGUCGAUAUUGACGCUAAGGGUGCGAACGUGUGGGAGCAAACGGAUAGAUACCCGGUAGUCACCCGUAACGA